AUGCAACCCUACAAUGCAAGUUCAAUCCAGAAAAUAAUCAUUAGCACUCGUACAUCCACGGUGCGAAUUACAGACAUAUCUACGCUAAUUGCAAACCUACCUCAGAUCAUUACUAGGCUUGCCGUUGGAACAUAUCGUUGCCCUCAUGCUAUCAUUUCAUACUUGGAACCUGUUAUGCCAUGCAACAUCACAGAAUAUCAGCCUCGCACUCAAGCAAACAAAACUAAUUCCCUUGCUCAAAAUCAGAAGCAAAAACUCAGAACAGAAAAUAUAAAAGAGGAUGGAAGAUGA